rnacentral:rRNA from 1 species
GAUGAACGCUGGCGGCGUGCCUAAUACAUGCAAGUCGAGCGAACGGACGAGAAGCUUGCUUCUCUGAUGUUAGCGGCGGACGGGUGAGUAACACGUGGAUAACCUACCUAUAAGACUGGGAUAACUUCGGGAAACCGGAGCUAAUACCGGAUAAUAUUUUGAACCGCAUGGUUCAAAAGUGAAAGACGGUCUUGCUGUCACUUAUAGAUGGAUCCGCGCUGCAUUAGCUAGUUGGUAAGGUAACGGCUUACCAAGGCAACGAUGCAUAGCCGACCUGAGAGGGUGAUCGGCCACACUGGAACUGAGACACGGUCCAGACUCCUACGGGAGGCAGCAGUAGGGAAUCUUCCGCAAUGGGCGAAAGCCUGACGGAGCAACGCCGCGUGAGUGAUGAAGGUCUUCGGAUCGUAAAACGCUGUUAUUAGGGAAGAACAUAUGUGUAAGUAACUGUGCACAUCUUGACGGUACCUAAUCAGAAAGCCACGGCUACUACGUG